GAUGAACGCUGGCGGCGUGCCUAAUACAUGCAAGUCGAGCGAACAGACGAGGAGCUUGCUCCUCUGACGUUAGCGGCGGACGGGUGAGUAACACGUGGAUAACCUACCUAUAAGACUGGGAUAACUUCGGGAAACCGGAGCUAAUACCGGAUAAUAUAUUGAACCGCAUGGUUCAAUAGUGAAAGACGGUUUUGCUGUCACUUAUAGAUGGAUCCGCGCCGCAUUAGCUAGUUGGUAAGGUAACGGCUUACCAAGGCAACGAUGCGUAGCCGACCUGAGAGGGUGAUCGGCCACACUGGAACUGAGACACGGUCCAGACUCCUACGGGAGGCAGCAGUAGGGAAUCUUCCGCAAUGGGCGGAAGCCUGACGGAGCAACGCCGCGUGAGUGAUGAAAGUCUUCGGAUCGUAAAACUCUGUUAUUAGGGAAGAACAAAUGUGUAAGUAACUAUGCACGUCUUGACGGUACCUAAUCAGAAAGCCACGGCUAACUACGUG
rnacentral:rRNA from 1 species